UGUGCCGGCAGCCGCGUUAAUACAGAGGGUGCGAGCGUUAAUCGGAAUUACUGGGCGUAAAGCGCACGUAGGCGGCUUGGCAUGUCGGGUGUGAAAUCCCCGGGCUCAACCUGGGAACUGCAUCCGAAACUGCCUUGCUAGAGUAUGGGGGAGGGAAGCGGAAUUUCCGGUGUAGCAGUGAAAUGCGUAGAUAUCGGAAGGAACAUCAGUGGCGAAUGCGGCUUCCUGGACCAAUACUGACGCUCAGGUGCGAAAGCGUGGGGAGCAAACAGGAUUAGAUACCCUGGUAGUCCACGCCCUAAACGAUGAGAACUAGAUGUCGGGAGGGAUUGCCUUCCGGUGUCGCAGCUAACGCGUUAAGUUCUCCGCCUGGGAAGUAUGGCCGCAAGGUUGAUACUCAAAGGAAUUGACUGGGACCCGCACAAGCGGUGGAGCAUGUGGUUUAAUUCGAUGCAACGCGAAGAACCUUACCUGGUCUGACAUCCUAGGAAUCCUGCAGAGAUGCGGGAGUGUCUUCGGGAACCUGGAGACCAGUGCUGCAUGGCUGUCGUCAGCUCCAGUCGUGAGAUGUUGGGUUAGUCCGCAACGAGCGCAACGUGCCCUAGUGCAUGUAGUGGACCUAGGGACGCGGCAACGAGAGGGAUCUAGCUAUGCUUACAGCACCCUCUAUGUGUCAGGUGCACGCAGGACAUCAUAGCGUGAGUCGAUCAGCGCACUAC
rnacentral:rRNA from 1 species